CCGCGUGCAGGAAGAAGUCUCUGCGGAGUGUAAACUGCUUUUACCAGGGUAAGAGUACGGACGGUACCUGGAGAAUACAGCCCCGGCUAACUACGUGC
rnacentral:rRNA from 1 species